AUGAAAUUAUCAUGGGGUUUUCUUAGCAACAUUUAUUCAGAUGGGAUUUGCUAUUCUCUUAGUCUCUUAGGAUUUGGGGGUGAUUGCACUGGGAAUGAGAGUUGUAGCUCACUCUUAUCCAGACAGCAACGAAUGCAGCCAACGGUGGAUCUGAACAAAACUUCAGUGAUAUUACCUAACAUCCCAAAACAAACAAUGCCUUCUUCUAAUAACCCGAGCACCGAUGGGUCUCCAAGCUAGUAAACAAUAUAGAUAAACACAUACAAAAGACUGUCUCUGAAAUACAACCAUACUAUCUAUACCAUUCAAAAUAUUUUUUUUAAAGAUAAAAAGCAAUACAGCAUGCUAAAACCUCUCUCUUAAAAAUAACUGAAGAAAAAAGCUAGCUAAUAAAAAGAUAUGGGGGGGGGGGGAGACAGUCUAGCUUCCCUAAUUCUCAUGAAACCUAUAUUUCCCAAAGAAAACUGAAAAAAAGCCCUUCAGUUUCAAAGAGAAAAAAUAAACAUUUUCAUGAAGCACUGAAACCCUAGCUACACCACUGAGCAAAGCAUAAGUGAUAGGAACCACAUAGGAGUCUACCCAGUCACAAUAUCUUGCAUAAUUUAUUCCAUGUACAAUGAAGAUCCGAUCAAAUUUCAUGCAUGUUUACUAUCUGGAAGACAAAUGCUUGACUGUUCGAAGCAACUGGAGAGUACAAAUAUGGUUCAGAGCAGUAUAUAUUAUCUCUGACAUUUUAAUCUUUAACAUCUUCCUAUUUGCACUGCCUUUCUACAAGGUUGGGUGGAUUUAAAUGACAAUAACCUAAUUGAAACUUGGGGUGAAUUGUAUUGCUUGAAACUACUAUUACUGUACUACUGAUACCACUUUUACACAAACACCCACCCACCACUGUUUACAUAUAUUGAACAACGACCAUCAACACAACCACAACCACCUUAAAAUAAAUGAAUCUAAAACAACCUUUUAAGCGACCCGCCAAAAAAGUCCCCACAGGGACACAGAUUUUCCACUGAAUCAAGGAGCGGAGGUAAAUUUGUAAUGUUUGUCCAUCUGUGUGGCUUUGUGGAUGGUGGGCAGGAGCCACUUCUGCCCCGGCCUCCUGGGCUUUGUGUGGCAAGGAAGUAGCGGGGCAAUGGGGAGUGGGGGGAAGAGGGCCGGCAAGGCGGUUGUUCUGAUCGAGGCCCUGCUCCUUUCUUCCCUUCUUUUGACACUCCUCCCUCUCUCCCUCCCUCUCUCCUCCAAGAGGUUUGGGAAGGUGAGUUGGAGGG
rnacentral:lncRNA from 1 species